AUGUCAGGUACGGGAAUAUUGACCCGUUAUCCAUCGACUACGCACUUCUGCCUCGCCUUAGGACCUGACUCACCCUCCGCGUCGACCUGGCUCAGAACGAACGCUGGCGGCAUGCCUAACACAUGCAAGUCGAACGAUUGCCUUCGGGUGAUAGUGGCGCACGGGUGCGUAACGCGUGGGAAUCUGCCCUUUGGUACGGGAUAACAGCGGGAAACUGCUGCUAAUACCGUAUGAUGACGUAAGUC
rnacentral:rRNA from 1 species